GUGCCAGCAGCCGCGGUAAUACGGAGGGGGUUAGCGUUGUUCGGAAUUACUGGGCGUAAAGCGCACGUAGGCGGACUAGUCAGUCAGAGGUGAAAUCCCAGGGCUCAACCCUGGAACUGCCUUUGAUACUGCUAGUCUUGAGUUCGAGAGAGGUAAGUGGAAUUCCGAGUGUAGAGGUGAAAUUCGUAGAUAUUCGGAGGAACACCAGUGGCGAAGGCGGCUUACUGGCUCGAUACUGACGCUGAGGUUGCGAAAGUGUGGGGAGCAAACAGGAUUAGAUACCCUGGUUAGUCCACACCGUAAACGAUGAAUGCCAGACGUCGGGUAGCAUGCUAUUCGGUGUCACACCUAAACGGAUUAAGCAUUCCGCCUGGGGAGUACGGUCGCAAGAUUAAAACUCAAAGGAAUUGACGG
rnacentral:rRNA from 1 species